CACGAUUUUUACCCACGACACACGCCUUUUUACCCACGACCCACGCCUUUUUACCCACGACCCACGCCUUUUUACCCACGACCCACGCCUUUUUACCCACGACCCACGCCUUUUUACCCACGACCCACGCCUUGUUACCCACGACCCACGCCUUUUUACCCACGACCCACGCCUUUUUACCCACGACCCACGCCUUUUUACCCACGACCCACGCCUUUUUACCCACGACUUACGACUUUUUACCCACGACCCAGGACUUUACCCACGACCCACGACAUUCUACCCACGACCCACGACAUUCUACCCACGAC